UGAGUUUUCGAUUUUGCCUCAAACGGCAAGUCUUCUGUCCAUCUAUUAUCCUUCCAAAUCUCUCUGCUACGCUUUGUCACCCCCUCUCUUUCUCCUCUUCCGUUGCUCCGUUUCCCCAACAGUGACCACCUCCGCCAUCUCAUUCGCUCUCAAUCAUCAUCAGGUACUACCCUCACUCAUGUCCUCAUUGUCUCUGCCCAUUGACGUCGAACAGCACUGCAUCAGCGUCUACAACAACACCACUGGAGUUUCCCGUCAAGAUUCACCAAGAGGAGAGGGUCUAUGUCUCGGAGUUGAUCUUCGGACACCUCCUGACCAGUAGCAACUAUGAUGAUACAGUGAAGAAGACCACCGGUGGAAGCAAAUGCUACGGCGCCAAGCUUACGAACAUCUUCUCCACCGAGUUCAUCAUUGAGACGGUGAACGAAAUGCGAUAGAAGAAGUAUAAGCAGGUGCAUUUUCGUCAAGACUGAAAACAGUUGCAUUGACAAAUUGGUGCAUUCAUUGAGAGUUGAUUCAAAAUACUCGAAGAAGCAUCUCGCAUUUGUUUCUUGAAUUUUCUGUUACGUUAAAUUUCUGAAACGUCAAAUCAAUUAAUUUUUCUUA